rnacentral:rRNA from 1 species
CCUACGGGAGACAGCAGUGAGGAAUAUUGGUCAAUGGACGAGAGUCUGAACCAGCCAAGUAGCGUGAAGGAUGACUGCCCUAUGGGUUGUAAACUUCUUUUAUAUGGGAAUAAAAUGUUCCACGUGUGGGAUUUUGUAUGUACCAUAUGAAUAAGGAUCGGCUAACUCCGUGCCAGCAGCCGCGGUAAUACGGAGGAUCCGAGCGUUAUCCGGAUUUAUUGGGUUUAAAGGGAGCGUAGGUGGAUUGUUAAGUCAGUUGUGAAAGUUUGCGGCUCAACCGUAAAAUUGCAGUUGAGACUGGCAGUCUUGAGUACAGUAGAGGUGGGCGGAAUUCGUGGUGUAGCGGUGAAAUGCUUAGAUAUCACGAAGAACUCCGAUUGCGAAGGCAGUUCACUGGACUGCAACUGACACUGAGGCUCGAAAGUGUGGGUAUCAAACAGGAUUAGAUACCCGUGUAGUC